GACGAACGCUGGCGGCGUGCUUAACACAUGCAAGUCGAACGGAAAGGCCCUGCUUUUGUGGGGUGCUCGAGUGGCGAACGGGUGAGUAACACGUGAGUAACCUGCCCUUGACUUUGGGAUAACUUCAGGAAACUGGGGCUAAUACCGGAUAGGAGCUCCUGCUGCAUGGUGGGGGUUGGAAAGUUUCGGCGGUUGGGGAUGGACUCGCGGCUUAUCAGCUUGUUGGUGGGGUAGUGGCUUACCAAGGCUUUGACGGGUAGCCGGCCUGAGAGGGUGACCGGCCACAUUGGGCCUGAGAUACGGCCCAGACUCCUACGGGAGGCAGCAGUGGGGAAUAUUGCACAAUGGGCGGAAGCCUGAUGAAGCAACGCCGCGUGCGGGAUGACGGCCUUCGGGUUGUAAACCGCUUUAGCCUGUGACGAAGCGUGAGUGACGGUAAUGGGUAAAGAAGCACCGGCUAACUACGUG
rnacentral:rRNA from 1 species